rnacentral:lncRNA from 1 species
GGAAUAUCCUGGUUCUUAAAAGACACUGAUGGCGGUGUUCCAGAGGAUACAUAACAUCAAUGCCAAUAAUGAUGGCGGUGUUACAGAGGACACAAGAUAUCUAUGGCUGACCCUGAUGGCGGUGUUCCAGCGACACAUGACGUCAAAGGGUCUAUGGUUCUUAUGACUGAUGAGAUGCACGAGGACGGACACGGAUUAUGUGAGGAGGAUGGACACGGAUCAUGUGAGGAGGAUGGACAAGGAUCACGUGAGGAGGAUGGACAAGGAUCAUGUGAGGAGGACGGACAAGGAUCAUGUGAGGAGGAUGGACAAGGAUCACGUGAGGAGGAUGGACAAGGUUCAUGUGAGAGACUUCAGAGCUGGGUGGUUGUCAGAAGGAUCCUGUCAUGUUUAGGAAAUGAGAGCAGAGAAGCCAAUGUACAUGAGUGUAUGUUUGUUCCAGGCAUUAAAUUAUUGGGAUGUUAUGCUAUGCUUCCUAAAAAUACUGUGAGGAAGGCAGAAUUUUGUGGAAAUGACUUCGAUCUGGAAGUCAGGCUGAUGCAGUUAAAAUCCUGGAGUGGUCAAUUACUAAUUUCUCAGUCUUUGGCAAACCACCAAAUGGCCAGUGGUCAUAGCUUUCUGGUUUCUAGAGAGAGAAAUAACUAUAUGCACAUCAUGUUGUAAGACUGAGAAUCUAUGCUUAAUAGAGUCUAUAGGGCUCACCAGGCAUGCAAUGAAGGUUAGCUCCCAUCCACAGAACCGCUCACAUCAGGAAAUUGCUGAGCCCGCCCAGUUAAUAGCAGUAACGGGCAGCGGAUGUUUGUGCUGUGGGUCCCAGGGUCCAGCGUGCUCUCAAGUCCAUUAUCUCAUUUGGUGUAGCAAGACAGAAAGCUUAGAGUCAUGGAGGAUGUAGCACAAGCCAAAUAAAAAGGAGCAGAGUUGAGGUUUAAAAGCAUGGUGUUUGAUUUCAGAUUCUGCAUUUUG